UACGUAGGGUCCGAGCGUUUGUCCGGAAUUAUUGGGCGUAAAGAGCUCGUAGGCGGUUUGUCGCGUCGACCGUGAAACCCGCGGCUUAACUGCGGGCUUGCGGUUGAUACGGGCGGGCUAGAGUUCGGUAGGGGAGACUGGAAUUCCUGGUGUAGCGGUGAAAUGCGCAGAUAUCAGGAGGAACACCGGUGGCGAAGGCGGGUCUCUGGGGCUUUUCUGACGCUGAGGAACGGAAAGCCAGGGUAGCGAACGGG
rnacentral:rRNA from 1 species